AUUGAACGCUGGCGGCAGGCUUAACACAUGCAAGUCGAGCGGAGAGAGGUAGCUUGCUACUGAUCUUAGCGGCGGACGGGUGAGUAAUGCUUAGGAAUCUGCCUAUUAGUGGGGGACAACAUUUCGAAAGGAAUGCUAAUACCGCAUACGUCCUACGGGAGAAAGCAGGGGAUCUUCGGACCUUGCGCUAAUAGAUGAGCCUAAGUCGGAUUAGCUAGUUGGUGGGGUAAAGGCCUACCAAGGCGACGAUCUGUAGCGGGUCUGAGAGGAUGAUCCGCCACACUGGGACGGAAACACGGCCCAGACUCCUACGGGAGGCAGCAGUGGGGAAUAUUGGACAAUGGGCGGAAGCCUGAUCCAGCCAUGCCGCGUGUGUGAAGAAGGCCUUAUGGUUGUAAAGCACUUUAAGCGAGGAGGAGGCUACUUUAGUUAAUACCUAGAGAUAGUGGACGUUACUCGCAGAAUAAGCACCGGCUAACUCUGUGCCAGCAGCCGCAGUAAGAC
rnacentral:rRNA from 1 species